GCUGUUAAGGGUUCGUAGUUGGGACAAGAGUCCCUCUCGGGAGCGCUUGCCCAGUUCGCCCCGCUCGCUAUCGAUGGAAGAGAGCCCCUGCGGAAAUCCCUUGUGGGUGGAUGCAACUCCGCUAUAUCGUGCUACGGGGUAUCCGUCGUAUCACUGUGAACAAAACAGUGUCCAAGGCGCCGUUGAUGGCUGAAUGCAAAAGCAUGGAAUGACGAGGGAUCGACCUUUGAGGCCAUCCUCUUGUUGGUUUUACGGCCCUAUGAGGGAAGAUUGGGUUGUAUGCCUCUGUGUGUUGUGUGCCGUCUUCCUCCGGUUCGGCGGACACAGGGCGCUUGAGCCUCGGCCCUAUUGGGAUCAGAGGGGCUGACGGGGGAAGCCGUAUCGGGAUGCGAGAGGUGAAAUUCCGUGACCAUCCCGGACGAACGUGUGCGAAGGCAGCUUCCAAGGAUGCCUUCAUUAAUCAAGAACCAAAGCGUGGGAUCGAAGAUGAUUAGAGACCAUUGUAGUCC
rnacentral:rRNA from 1 species